rnacentral:rRNA from 1 species
UACGUAGGGAGCAAGCGUUGUCCGGAAUCAUUGGGCGUAAAGCGCGCGUAGGCGGCUCGAUCAGUCUGUUGUGAAAGUCAAAGGCUCAACCUUUGAAAGCCGAUGGAUACUGUCGAGCUAGAGUCCGGAAGAGGCGGGUGGAAUUCCUGGUGUAGCGGUGGAAUGCGCAGAUAUCAGGAGGAACACCGGUGGCGAAGGCGGGUCUCUGGGCCGAUACUGACGCUGAGGAGCGAAAGCGUGGGGAGCGAACAGG